UACAGAGGUGGCAAGCGUUGUUCGGAAUUACUGGGCGUAAAGGGCGCGUAGGCGGUCUUCUAAGUCUUGUGUGAAAUCCCUCGGCUCAACUGAGGAACUGCACGGGAUACUGGAAGACUUGAGUUCGGGAGAGGGAAGCGGAAUUCCGGGUGUAGCGGUGGAAUGCGUAGAUAUCGGGAGGAACACCAGUGGCGAAGGCGGCUUCCUGGACCUGUUCUGACACUGAGGAGCGAAAGCGUGGGGAGCGAUCCGG
rnacentral:rRNA from 1 species